rnacentral:rRNA from 3 species
UUAAAUUGAAGAGUUUGAUCAUGGCUCAGAUUGAACGCUGGCGGCAGGCCUAACACAUGCAAGUCGAACGGUAACAGGAC